rnacentral:tRNA from 1 species
AGCUUUAUAGUCAAUGUAUGAUAUUAGAUUGCAAUUCUAAUGUAGGAAUUAUCUCCUAAAGCUU